AGGAUGAACGCUAGCGGCAGGCUUAAUACAUGCAAGGUCGUGGGGCAGCGCAGGUAGCAAUACUGGGCGGCGACCGGCAAACGGGUGCGGAACACGUACACAACCUUCCGAGAAGUGGGGAAUAGCCCAGAGAAAUUUGGAUUAAUACCCCGUAACAUAACGAUGUGGCAUCACAUUGUUAUUAUAGCUUCGGCGCUUCUUGAUGGGUGUGCGGCUGAUUAGAUAGUUGGCGGGUAACGGCCCACCAAGUCUACGAUCAGUAGCUGAUGUGAGAGCAUGAUCAGCCACACGGGCACUGAGACACGGGCCCGACUCCUACGGGAGGCAGCAGUAAGGAAUAUUGGUCAAUGGACGCAAGUCUGAACCAGCCAUGCCGCGUGAAGGAUUAAGGUCCUCUGGAUUGUAAACUUCUUUUAUUUGGGAAGAAACCCACGAUUUCUAUUGUGGUUGACGGUACCAGAUGAAUAAGCACCGGCUAACUCCGUG
rnacentral:rRNA from 1 species